UCAAAUUCAACACCAGAAAUUUGCUGGAAGAGACCAAUAAAUUAAGUGUACUGGCCACAUUAAUACUGUAACACAUCAAUACAAACAGAGCAGGUGAUGGUGAGCUGUCUCUGAAAUGCUGCCAUCUUUGGGAUGUAGAAGCACCCAGAGUGUUAUUAGGAAAUGACUUUGAAGGACCAGUGAUACUUGCCCAAGUCAGGACGAUGUGUUCCUUGGAAGAUCACUUUCUUGAAAAGAUAAAGAGAAAAUUCACCUUAAGAGACACUAAGAAAGUGAAUCCUCAAAUGGGAUUAGGAAUUGGUUUGUCCACAACCCCAUGUCCUCCUCAAAAUGUCAAAAUGAACCAGUAGGGACUGAAGAAAAACAUCUCACUGGCACCUGUAAUCAGUGCACUUUCUCUUUUUCUGUGCUUAUUUGUAAUAAUUCUGUACAGCCUUAGUUCUUUGUGUGUUUGGUUGUAUGUGUGUGGGAUUUGUUUUUAGAACAGAUAGAAUUCAAGGUUGAGGAAGUUAUACGGUAGUAAUUUGUGUCUUCAAAUAAAGCAGAAAAAUAAACAUUUUGAUGACAAUGACAAACCAUUUCCUUGUUAGGUACAGAAAUGAGAUGAGUGUUUUCUUCAAGCCUGGGUUGGUCAGAUAGCUGAACUGGGGAUUUUGAUAGUUUGAAUAAAUCGUUUCACAUUCUACAAUGAGUCACAUGUGUGGUGCUGGAAAAGCACAGCCAGUCAGGUAGCAUCCGA